UCAGAUCUUAGCUCUGUCUGUAACUGUUC
rnacentral:piRNA from 1 species